rnacentral:rRNA from 1 species
GUGUCAGCAGCCGCGGUAAGACAGAGGGUGCGAACGUUGUUCGGAAUUACUGGGCGUAAAGCGCGUGUAGGCGGUCGUGCAAGUCGGGUGUGAAAGCCCUGGGCUCAACCCAGGAAGUGCAUUCGAUACUGCGCGACUGGAGUCCCGGAGAGGAUGGUGGAACUCUCGGUGUAGAGGUGAAAUUCGUAGAUAUCGAGAAGAACACCGGUGGCGAAGGCGGCCAUCUGGACGGUGACUGACGCUGAGACGCGAAAGCGUGGGGAGCAAACAGGAUUAGAUACCCUGGUAGUCC